AGAGUUUGAUCCUGGCUCAGAACGAACGCUGGCGGCGUGCCUAACACAUGCAAGUCGAGCGCGAAAAGAGCAAUCUGAGUAGAGCGGCGCACGGGUGCGUAACACGUGGGUAAUCUGCCUCGAGGUCCGGGAUAACCUUCCGAAAGGUUGGCUAAUACCGGUUAAGCUCACGGUGACUUCGGUCGCUGAGAGAACAGGGGCCCGAAAGGGUCUCGCCACGAGAUGAGCCCGCGGCCCAUCAGCUAGUUGGUGAGGUAAUGGCCCACCAAGGCUACGACGGGUAGCUGGUCUGAGAGGACGAUCAGCCACACUGGAACUGAGACACGGUCCAGACUCCUACGGGAGGCAGCAGUGGGGAAUUUUGCACAAUGGGCGAAAGCCUGAUGCAGCAACGCCGCGUGUGUGAUGAAGGUCUUCGGAUCGUAAAGCACUUUCGACCGGGACGAACAAGCCUGGCCACACCAGGCCCUGACGGUACCGGGAGAAGAAGCACCGGCUAACUCUGUGCCAGCAGCCGCGGUAAUACAGAGGGUGCAAGCGUUGUUCGGAAUUAUUGGGCGUAAAGCGCGUGUAGGCGGCUUAGCAAGUCGGGCGUGAAAGCCCUCGGCUCAACCGAGGAAGUGCACCCGAAACUGCUGAGCUUGAGUGCCGGAGAGGAUGGCGGAAUACCCCAAGUAGAGGUGAAAUUCGUAGAUAUGGGGUGGAACACCGGUGGCGAAGGCGGCCAUCUGGACGGUAACUGACGCUGAGACGCGAAAGCGUGGGGAGCAAACAGGAUUAGAUACCCUAGUAGUCC
rnacentral:rRNA from 1 species